CUAAUACCAGUCAUCGGCUCCAGUUUGAUUAAAUCCUCAACAUCGAUAUCCAACCCAUGAACACUCUGAGUUGGUCGCUGUACUUUCUUGGGAUAGGGAGUAGGUGCAUGAUGAUGUGUUUCACAGUCUCUAUGGCUUCAUCAGAUGACUCAUACAGUCCAGUAUAUUCCUAAAAACAACAUGGGAUGAGGGAUUUUUCAC